CGUGCAGGCGGCUCGCUAAGUCUGAUGUGAAAGCCCCGGGCUCAACCCGGGAAGUGCAUUGGAAACUGGUGAACUUGAGUAUGGGAGAGGGAAGUGGAAUUCCGAGUGUAGGGGUGAAAUCCGUAGAUAUUCGGAGGAACACCAGUGGCGAAGGCGGCUUCCUGGACCAAUACUGACGCUGAGACGCGAAAGCGUGGGGAGCAAACA
rnacentral:rRNA from 1 species